rnacentral:lncRNA from 1 species
GCUGAGAAGAAACCAGAGAAAGCGCAUCCCUGCCAGACGGAUUCCUCUUCCCAAACAUUCUUUUGGUUUAGUCCCUCACUGGAUCAUGUGACAAAUGUGAAGAAAUUAUCGUAAUAUGAUCAAGAAUGCCUUUGCACUGAAUUAUUAUAUAAGAAGAUGGUAUGUAUUAACAGAAACUGUUGUACCAAGGGUCUCACUUUUUGAGCAGCUGUUAUUCUUUAUAGUCUCCAAGAGGGUUAUGGUCUAAUAGAUGUAUUUAUGUGAGGUGAUCUGUUUGCGGGGAAGCAAAGGUAGGGAACUGGAGCAAGAACAAGGGGACAGUGAUAGACAUAUGGGAAAACUAAUUAUAAAUAGUGGGCAUCAUCGAAGUUUGAGAUUGAAUUUCUAAUGGAGGACAUACCAAUGAAUGUUGCGUUCCUCUGGCUGUCAUGAAGUGGGACUUUGAGUCUGACUGUAGACUAGAGUGGGAGGUAAUAGGGGCAUUUAAUGCCACCCGGUAUCAAAGGGAUGAUGGAACAUCCCCUGCAUUACUUUGUAAAAUCUUGGUUGAAAAUUAAUGGAGAGCACCAGCAGCUGUAAUUGUUUCAGGAGCUGUAUCUCCCAGAAAAAGAAAGACUGGGGGCGGGGACUAAAAUACCUGUAAAAGUAAGACUGAACAAAGUUGGCCCUCCUGGUGGAACAGCAAAUAAAUACUGUACCAUAGCAUAAGUAAUCUGUUUUUUUUUUUUUUUUUUUGAAAGCAAUAACAAGCUUUUCUUGUCACCAGAAUUAUCGUGAUCUUGUUUCUAUGGAAACAGUUGAUUCUGUUGAUCUGUCAGACAAAAUGAAGGUUACUCUAUGAGGAGGGAAGAAGAUGGACUUCUUCAUGCUUCAGCCCUUCUCUUAUCCACCUGCUACUUCCUGAGAUCUGUUUCUGCCAUGAUUUUGGAAAGCAACCUUAGUCUUUGUAAACAAGUCCACCAUUCAAAACCCAAUGGAAAUACAGGUUACCUGUGAGAAGUAGAAGAAAAUCCAAACUGCAGGAAAGGGUGAGCUGGCUCUUGAUUACUUAUGGUCACCAUUUUGCUCUUCUGAAAUGUAUAGUAAUCUCAUCGAGUUUGCAACCUGAGCAGAACUGACCCUGUACGAAUCCUACCUUUUCCCUGCUUUGAGUAAGGAUUUUAUCUACCUUAUGGUCCUGUGACUGAGGAAACGAUAUGGUGUGUGAUUUUUGCAACACAUGGACUGCUACUGAACUCACUAUUAUUGGUACAAUCCUGGCUGUACUGUUAGGUUACUCUUGUGAUACCUUACGCUUUUGAAUCUUCACUAAAAAGAGUACAACAUAUAGUACAGAAGCUUCCAAGAGUAUAAAUAAGCAAAAGAAAGUAAAAUCUGGCAAAGUUAGUUGAUAUGAUCCCUGGAAAGGGGUCCAUCUGAUGCAGUUCCCUCACAGCAACAGGAGGAUCGAUGUUUUGUGCACCAGUUGAUCUCAUAGGGUUUCUGGUUACAACUUGCUCUUG